AUUGAACGCUGGCGGCAGGCUUAAUACAUGCAAGUCGAACGAGUGGCGGACGGGUGAGUAAGGCUUGGGAAUCUGGCUUAUGGAGGGGGAUAAGGGGGGGAAACUGUCGAUAAUACUGCGUACGAUAGGAUGAGCCCAAGUGGGAUUAGGUAGCUGGUGGGGUAAUGGCCUACCAAGGCGACGAUCGCUAGCUGGUCUGAGAGGCUGACCGGCCACACCGGGACUGAGACACGGCCCGGACUCCGACGGGAGGCAGCAGUGGGGAAGAUUGCGCAAUGGGGGCAACCUGACGCAGCAAUGCCGCGUGAAUGAAGAAGGCCUGCGGGUUGUAAAGUUCUUUCGGUGACGAGGCGUUAAUCACAGAAGAAGCACCGGCUAACUCCGUGCCAGCAGCCGCGGUAAUAC
rnacentral:rRNA from 1 species